GGCUUAGUGGUGUAUAGGUUUGCACGUUAAAGUUUCAGUUUAAGGGAGUGUGAUGUGACACCUAGGUUA
rnacentral:tRNA from 1 species